AGAAAUAAAUCAUUUUAAGCUACUUUUCCAGCCAGUCAGAGGAAAUCCACUUCAAUCAGGGCGGCCUACCUCCCGCCCGAAAACAGAACUCGGCUGCUAACGACGCCCUAAGUUUCCACGUGUUAUAGGCGACAAAUGACAAGUAGAGCAAACACAAAUCGCGUUGUUUUAAUCCUGUGAAUGAACAUACGCCUACUACAACAGUGAACUCUGGAACGUAGUGAGAGAUUGGAAGCCUUGACCAUCUGACCUCUCCCUUAUUGGAGGCAAUGAGGAGACCGUGUAGUAAUUCCACAUCGCUCCUCCAGAUACAAGGGGAGAAAAGCCAUAUGUCAGAAACCAAGAGUCACAGUUCGCACAAGAGAACUGACCGGAAUGUAUACGACCAUUACAAAGGAACAGACAAGGAGAGUUCGUAUAGGUAACUUUCUCUCGGAUCCAUUUCCAGUGCACAAUGACCUAAAACAGGGGGAUGCUUUGUCCCCAAUGCUUUUUAAUUUUGCUCUAUAGCGUGUCAUCAGGAAGGGCUCGAAUUGAAUGGUCUGCACCAGGUAUUUGCCCGUGCUGAUGAUGUCAAUUUGCUGGGGGAUGGUGUGGGUACCUUAACCAAGAAUCCAGAAACUCUCCUACAGGCUACCAAGGAAGUUAAUGCAGACAAUACUAAAUACAUGGGCGUAAUACGGGACCAACAUCAGCAACAACGGCACAACAUAAUCAUAAGCAACACAUCAUUUGAAAAUGUUUAAAAAUUUAAGUAUCUGGGAACAACAAUAACAAACAGAAAUGAGGUCCAAGAUGAAAUUAAGAGUAGAAUAAAUUAGGAAGGUGGUCUGUGAGGAUGGUAAAUGGAUGGAGUUGGCUUCGUCAGAGUACGAACUAAAUCCUGGAGUUGUGUGGAAAUGAGGAAUCACGUAACGACUUUCUAUGAAUGACUUCUCUACUGAAACGAACUUGAAUGAAUUAGCUCCGACCAACAAAUUAGUCCGACCCAUCACCACUGCCUUCUUACCGGCCACGACCUAGUUCCUACUGCACACGAGAGUUUAGUAAACGCAUGCAAUGUAGACGGCCCGGUAAUCAAGUGAUGUGCGCAUGCGCAACACUCGUAUUCCUAAGCGUAAAACAUUAGUCUUUCGUACAACGAUAUUUCUCACACAUCUUUGUUGCUUCCCGCUGCGCCGCUGUUCGUUCUAUCGUUAUUCAUUUAUUUUUGUUCCUAUUUCAUAACUUCCAGCGUUGUGAAGUGUUACUAGUAACGUUUGUAUCAAAAUACAACACGCAUUACGUUUUUCGGUCUGCUAGUAGAGCAGCACGUGACUUCCCAGCCGCUACGUCACAAAAACUUACUCUCACGUAUAAUAAUUCUUCCCGUGUCGUCAUCAAACGUCAUCUGUACAUGUAAGCAUCUGAUAAUUUCUUUGCCGAAAAGGUACGGCAAGUAAUUUGCAUUUUUAAACAAAACAGUUCUGUGUAUGUGUGCCUUUCUUGCGUGCAGUCAGGACGGUUCCGCAAGUCAUUCCAUACAGACCUGGCGACAAGGGUUCAAUUCUCGAGAGGGCAGAAUUGUUUUCAUCUUUGUCUCCGUGGAAUGGUGCAAAAGAACACGAGCAACUUACAAUGGAUGGAGUCCACAACCAAAACGCGAAUGAUGUUAUCUGUCUUUCUUGUAUACUGGACUCUGAACUAUAACUAGAAAGAAGCAUGGGUGACGUCACUCGGACCGACUUCUGCGUGCGCAGUGCCACUACUAACCACCUCGCUACCUCGACGUUUUUAACGGCUCUCGUCCUAGUAACAAUUUAAAGCCGAACAGUAAUAACAUGUCCCACCUUCGUUUUCGUUCAGUAGAAGUUUUGCCCACAGAGUCGGUGCAAACAGAUAACAUUUCCCUGAUCAUCAACAAAACUGGUCCGUGUAAUGGCGACAUGCCAUGUUUUCUUUGAGAAUUUUCAAGAAUAUUUAACUGGAAAUGUGGUCGGCUCCCCAAGUGAGAUUGUAAAAAUGGAUCAUUCAUUUGAAAGAGUUUUAAAUGUUGCGGAUUCUCCGCAGUGUUUGUUGCCGUACUAUAUUUUCCAAACGGAGCAUUUAGGGGUUACAACAAAAAAACUGUUUUCCCUCUACAAGGAAUCGCUGCAAAUCAGCAGUAAUGACAAGUAGUAUAAUAUUUCGUUGUGACAUUCACGUGUUUAAUUCAAUGAUGUUCAAGCUUCAGCCGGAACUGGAAGAAACUUUGCGGUAGUUCGAGAUACCAACUGAAAUACUUUUUAAAACCUUGUCAAUAAACAACUGGUGUAACAAAAGCGCAAUAAGCAAACCGUCAAAGUGGAAUGAAAUCGGGGUAGGCUUCAACAAUCGCCCGGUAAUCGCCUCGCACAAAAAAUAAGGAGUAUGUGUAGGCCUGCCCCGUUCGCCAACCUUCCAAAUAAUACUUCGACACGCUGCCGAGACGACAUCUCGUUCAGUACUGCUCUGCAGAACGUCUAAUUACUAAAACUACUGCAUCGGAAUUACAAGAAAUCUAAAUGACAAACUGAAAUAGCAAGUUUCAUUUAGUGAACGGCUGAAGUAACUUUCAAUACUGUGUUGAUGCACUUGGGCCCCUUCAGUACACAGUCUACACUUUUCAAGGUUGUUUUAUCACACGCCUACUAGAUCCAGAAUAACGUAACUUUAUUUAUAUUAAAUCAAUGAACCUAUCAUAAUGUCACUUAAUUCACAUUUCCACGCAUGUCCUAAUACGGAAAAGAAAAUUACCUUCCCUGGUACAAAAACUAGACGACGCUCCCAACUUACGAGAGGAGGUGUUAAAUUUGCUGGGUGGAAUGUCAAUUAGCAGGAAUAUGGCAUCCAGUAGCUGCAAACAUGGAACGGAAAAGUACGGCUGUGCGCUUUGGGGGCCGAAAAGUUUCAUGUGAAAUAAAUUACAUUAGGGAAUAAGUGACUAGUGAUUAUCUGGUCGGUUGUAGUUAUAACGGCUACUUUAAAAUCAUGCAUAACACGUCUUAAAACAGAAAAAAAUAGUGUCAAAAUCUUUAUGUUUUGUAAAUUAGUUGUAAAAUGCAGCACUGUAGACUAAUUUAACUACUUGGCCAGACAUACGCAAUUGUUAACAAUGAAUUCUAAUAGCCAUUACAUACGAGGUGAAGGAAAAUGUUUUCAAGUUUAUAUAACGCUUCUUAUGUAAAAUUAUGUAUCCUCUGUCUUCUACUCUGUAAAAUAUUACGAAAUCCUAGCUUCCAAACUACCAUCAACAACAAAUUGUAAUUAAUUACUUUAUGUUAACAGCAACUACUCAAUUUUAAAAUGUCAAAGUAACUUAAAAUGUUUCCUUUCA